GAUGAACGCUGGCGGCGUGCCUAAUACAUGCAAGUCGAGCGAACAGACGAGGAGCUUGCUCCUCUGACGUUAGCGGCGGACGGGUGAGUAACACGUGGAUAACCUACCUAUAAGACUGGGAUAACUUCGGGAAACCGGAGCUAAUACCGGAUAAUAUAUUGAACCGCAUGGUUCAAUAGUGAAAGACGGUUUUGCUGUCACUUAUAGAUGGAUCCGCGCCGCAUUAGCUAGUUGGUAAGGUAACGGCUUACCAAGGCAACGGUGCGUAGCCGACCUGAGAGGGUGAUCGGCCACACUGGAACUGAGCCACGGUCCAGACUCCUACGGGAGGCAGCAGUAGGGAAUCUUCCGCAAUGGGCGAAAGCCUGACGGAGCAACGCCGCGUGAGUGAUGAAGGUCUUCGGAUCGUAAAACUCUGUUAUUAGGGAAGAACAAAUGUGUAAGUAACUAUGCACGUCUUGACGGUACCUAAUCAGAAAGCCACGGCUAACUACGUG
rnacentral:rRNA from 1 species